GUUAAAUGGAGAAAAAUAAAGAAGAAAAAAAAAGAGAAAAAGCUAGUUGACAUCAGCGAGCCUUUAAGAUCAACCUUUGGAUCUGCAGUUGUAUAAGAUUAUACGUGCUCACGUUGGGCUUACAAAAAAAUUUAACCUUCGCAUAGUUGGACUACAAGUGGCCUGAUUGGAGGGCUAAAGGAUUAAAUUUGGUUUGGCCAAAUUUUUUUUCAGUCAUGACUGAAGAUGAAUUUUAUAUUAUUUGAGAGUUAUAUUUGGCCUAGAUCCGUAACCGGAGAUGGCCUCAUAUGAUCAGUGGAGGAGCUGGAGAAUAACAAAACAAUAAACGGAAAUGGGUGGUUUGAUUGAUGAUGAGAUAGGAGGAGACCCAAUUCCACCCAGAACCAGCGGAUCAGAAAGGCCCUGCCAGCCUGUCUUCCCCAAAAUCAUUCACGACUGACGCAAGCACGCACUCCAAGUGAAGUUGCCAACACACCAAGUCAAUAACAAUUGUGCACCACAAAAGACACUUUUUCUCCCCUUGCUCUUGCUAUAUAUCUAUCAACACACACAUGGAUGGGAUGUUGUUCAUGGCGUUAAUGGGUUAAAUCCACUAGGACACAUAGAGGAGAUGGAGAAAAUCAAGCAGCUCUGCUCCUGCUCCUGCGAUGGAUUUUCUUGCUCGCCUCACCUACAUUAUUAACGUUAAUUAAUUCAUGCUUCACUUACAUACCCUAUUGUCUCUACAAAUUUACACAUAUUCCUUGUCUUGCGUUGCUUUCCAAGAGAAAGCGAGACACACAGUAGAGAGAUAUAGAUGGCAGAAGAAUUUCCUAUGACUGGUGGAGAUGGCCCAAACAGCUACGCCAAAAAUUCCAUUUCACAGAGAUUAGCAGCAGAUGGUGCAAAGGGAAUGUUGGUUGCAUCAAUAUUCGAAAACCUUGACAUUCAAACUCUGCCGUCUCGGCCUACUACUGCUUCAAGCACAAUAUUCCGGAUUGCUGAUUUAGGUUGCUCUACUGGACCUAACACAUUCAUUCAAGUAAAAAACAUAAUUGAUGCCGUAUCUCAAAAAUACCACCAGUCUGCUGUUGAACUUCCAGAACUGCAAGUAUACUUCAGUGACCUUGUUUCAAAUGACUUCAAUUAUCUCUUUGCCACUCUCCCCCGAGAUAGGCAAUAUUUCGCGGCAGGAGUUCCAGGCUCUUUUCAUGGAAGACUCUUCCCUAAAGCCUCUCUUAAUUUUGUCUACUCGGCAUAUGCUCUGCAUUGGCUUUCGAAGCUGCCACAAGUGCUACGCGAUGCCAACUCUCCUGCAUUUAACAAGGGUAGGAUUUUGUAUGGCAAUGCGCCUUAUGAAGUUGGCCAGGCAUAUUCAGCUCAGUAUGCCAAGGACAUUGAGUGUUUUUUCCAUGCUCGAGGACAAGAGCUUGCCCCUGGAGGCCUGAUGGUGCUUUUGAUUCCGGGGCGUCCCCAUGGCACGCUUCCGGCACAGGGUUCUCUUGCCCCAUUUUUUGCACCCUUGGAGUUUACUCUUGCUGAUAUGGUGAAUGAGGGUUUAUUAAGUGAGGAUAAAUUUGACUCUUUCAACUUGCCCUUCUACUGCCCAUCUGUGGAGGAGUUGAGGACACUCAUAGACGAAAAUGGUUGCUUUGAUAUCUUGAAAUUGGAGAUCCAAGCCGCUCAGACGCCUGCAUAUCCUAGUGUACAACAAUGUAGAGCUGGGAUGGAGAGCAUUCUCAAAAAACACUUCGGGGAUGAAAUUAUAGAAUUGCUUUUUGAUCGAUACUCGAAGAACAAAAAUAUUGCAGGAAGUGCUUCCCUUGUUGCUGAUGAUGGCCUGGCUGUUGGGUUCUUCGUUCUUGUCAAGCGCAAAUAUCUUUGAUUGGCAACCAGGUAAAACCUACUUUAUAAGUAAUUUUAUAGGAUGGAAGAACCAAUCAAGUAUCCUAAAUAAAGGUGAUGGCUUUGUUUAGCCUGCAAAUCCUAAGGUUAAUAGAUGCUGCCGGCCUGCCUGCCUGCCGAGACACUCAGACAUGUAGUUUGAUACUUGAGGAGAAGAGAGCAGCUUAAUUUACAUAGUUUCUUUCUUCUGAGGAGCAAUUUGCCGUUGGGUUUGUUUACUAGUACUCUGAGUCGUAGGCCUUCCUUCACUUCAUGGUAAAGUCAAGAAAUACUACCAACUGGACUGCUCAAAAUUCCUGUUAAUUUGAUAGUAUACACAGUGCUUGCUUUUCAUAUUCAAUUAAUCGAAUGGAUCUCUGUUCUUGUCUUAAAAAAAAAACAGAUCAAUGAAUAAGGACAACAAGUUUGCCUUGCACAGCUCACUAUUUUCA